UACAGAGGGGGCAAGCGUUGUUCGGAAUUACUGGGCGUAAAGGGCGCGUAGGCGGCCUGCUAAGUCGAACGUGAAAUCCCUGGGCUCAACCCAGGAACUGCGUCCGAUACUGGUUGGCUUGAAUCCGGGAGAGGGAUGUGGAAUUCCAGGUGUAGCGGUGAAAUGCGUAGAUAUCGGGAGGAACAUCAGUGGCGAAGGCGGCCUUCUGGUCCAGUACUGACACUCAAGUGCGAAAGCGUGGGGAGCAAACAGG
rnacentral:rRNA from 1 species